UACGUAGGGGGCAAGCGUUGUCCGGAAUUAUUGGGCGUAAAGAGCGCGUAGGCGGUCCGAUAAGUCGGCUGUGAAAUCCCCGGGCUCAACCUGGGAACUGCAUCCGAAACUGCCUUGCUAGAGUAUGGGAGAGGGAAGUGGAAUUUCCGGUGUAGCGGUGAAAUGCGUAGAUAUCGGAAGGAACAUCAGUGGCGAAGGCGACUUCCUGGACCAAUACUGACGCUCAGGUGCGAAAGCGUGGGGAGCAAACAGG
rnacentral:rRNA from 1 species